UCCGUAGGUGGAUAAUUAAGUCAGAGGUGAAGUCCUGCAGCUCAACUGUAGAAUUGCCUUUGAUACUGGUUAUCUUGAGUCAUUAUGAAGUGGUUAGAAUGUGUAGUGUAGCGGUGAAAUGCAUAGAUAUUACACAGAAUACCGAUUGCGAAGGCAGAUCACUAAUAAUGUACUGACACUGAGGGACGAAAGCGUGGGGAGCGAACAGGAUUAGAUACCCUGGUAGUCC
rnacentral:rRNA from 1 species